GACAGAGGGUGCAAACGUUGUUCGGAAUUACUGGGCGUAAAGAGCGUGUAGGCGGUUCGGUAAGUCGGGUGUGAAAGCCCUGGGCUCAACCCAGGAAGUGCACUCGAAACUCCCGAGCUAGAGUCCUGGAGAGGAAGGCGGAAUUCUCGGUGUAGAGGUGAAAUUCGUAGAUAUCGAGAGGAACAUCGGUGGCGAAGGCGGCCUUCUGGACAGCGACUGACGCUGAGACGCGAAAGCGUGGGGAGCAAACAGG
rnacentral:rRNA from 1 species